GCUCCCUCAAAACUUGUAACAUCUGUGGCAUUGUGCUUUGUGAUAAAACUGCACAUUUUAGAGUGGCCUUUUAUAGUGGCCAGCCUAAGGCUGUGCAAUAAUCAGGCCAUCCAUCACAUAUCUUCCCUCAUAGAGAUAGACAGACCUGUGGCCAGAACCACGAUGGGGUCCAAUGUGACUGGACAAGCAUGUGGGCAUGGUAC